rnacentral:rRNA from 2 species
UGAAGAGUUUGAUCAUGGCUCAGAUUGAACGCUGGCGGCAGGCCUAACACAUGCAAGUCGAACGGUAACAGGAAGCAGCUUGCUGCUUUGCUGACGAGUGGCGGACGGGUGAGUAAUGUCUGGGAAACUGCCUGAUGGAGGGGGAUAACUACUGGAAACGGUGGCUAAUACCGCAUAACGUCGCAAGACCAAAGAGGGGGACCUUCGGGCCUCUUGCCAUCAGAUGUGCCCAGAUGGGAUUAGCUAGUUGGUGAGGUAACGGCUCACCAAGGCGACGAUCCCUAGCUGGUCUGAGAGGAUGACCAGCCACACUGGAACUGAGACACGGUCCAGACUCCUACGGGAGGCAGCAGUGGGGAAUAUUGCACAAUGGGCGCAAGCCUGAUGCAGCCAUGCCGCGUGUAUGAAGAAGGCCUUCGGGUUGUAAAGUACUUUCAGCGGGGAGG